rnacentral:rRNA from 1 species
GCCCCGACGUGGGGGAUAACUAGUCGAAAGAUUAACUAAUACCUCAUACGCCCCAAGGGGGAAAGUGGGGGAUCGCAAGACCUCAUGCUUGUUGAGCGGCCGAUAUCUGAUUAGCUAGUUGGUAGGGUAAAAGCCUACCAAGGCGACGAUCAGUAGCUGGUCUGAGAGGACGACCAGCCACACUGGGACUGAGACACGGCCCAGACUCCUACGGGAGGCAGCAGUGGGGAAUUUUGGACAAUGGGGGCAACCCUGAUCCAGCAAUGCCGCGUGAGUGAAGAAGGCCUUCGGGUUGUAAAGCUCUUUUGUCCGGGAAGAAAUCCUCUUGGCGAAUACCUGGGAGGGAUGACGGUACUGGAAGAAUAAGCACCGGCUAACUACGUGCCACCAGCCGCGGUAAUACGUAGGGUGCAAGCGUUAAUCGGAAUUACUGGGCGUAAAGCGUGCGCAGGCGGUUGUGCAAGACCGAUGUGAAAUCCCCGGGCUUAACCUGGGAACUGCAUUGGUGACUGCACGGCUAGAGUGUGUCAGAGGGGGGGUAGAAUUCCACGUGUAGCAGUGAAAUGCGUUAAGAUGUGGAGGAAUACCGAUGGCGAACGCACCCCCCCUGGGAUACCACUGACGCUCAUGCACAAAAGCCGUGGGA